rnacentral:rRNA from 1 species
UGGGGAAUAUUGCGCAAUGGGCGAAAGCCUGACGCAGCGACGCCGCGUGAGGGAUGAAGGUCCUCGGAUCGUAAACCUCUGUCAGGGGGGAAGAAGCGCCUGUGAGCAAAUAGUUCAUGGGUUUGACGGUACCCCCAAAGGAAGCACCGGCUAACUCCGUGCCAGCAGCCGCGGUAAUACGGAGGGUGCGAGCGUUAAUCGGAAUCACUGGGCGUAAAGCGCACGUAGGUGGCGUGGUAAGUCGGGGGUGAAAUCCCACAGCUCAACUGUGGAACUGCCUUCGAUACUGUCAUGCUUGAGUAUCGGAGAGGGUGGCGGAAUUCCAGGUGUAGGAGUGAAAUCCGUAGAUAUCUGGAAGAACACCGGUGGCGAAGGCGGCCACCUGGACGAAAACUGACGCUGAGGUGCGAAAGCGUGGGGUAGCAAACAGGAUUAGAUACCC